GCAAAGCCUACCAAAAAAAAAAAAAAAAGAUGGUGGUGGUGGUGAGGGUACAAACUUCUUGGCAGGGCAUACAAAACCAUUUAUAAUCUGUCUGGCUAUUGCAAACCUCACAUGUCUGUACACCCCAGACAGAUAUUAAGCAGAGAAACGAGGUACGCUGGGAAAUGCCUGUUUCAACGGGCAGCGACAGACUUGAUUCUACAUAGGACAAGAAGGUAAUGAAGAACGAAAGGAUGCUCACACAGUUAAUUGCACCCCAAGAAGGAACCACCCACGGAUCCCAUGUCACCACAGGGAGCACAUGCUUGAUUGUGACUCUGAAAGGUCUGGAGAGCCAGUGCUGCCAAGGUGGGAGAUGGAAACACCCAGAACUCAUUAAAAAAACUUUUUUUUAAA